rnacentral:rRNA from 1 species
GAUGAACGCUGGCGGCGUGCUUAACACAUGCAAGUCGAACGGAAAGGCCUGUACUUGUACAGGUACUCGAGUGGCGAACGGGUGAGUAACACGUGGGUGAUCUGCCCUGCACUGUGGGAUAAGCCCGGGAAACUGGGUCUCAUACCAUAUAGGACCACUUCUUGGAUGUGGUGGUGGCAAGCCUUUGCGGUGUGGGAUGAGCCUGCGGCCUAUCAGCUUGUUGAUGGGGUAAUGGCCAACCAAGGCGGCGCCGGGUAUCCGGCCUGAGAGGGUGUACAGAGACAUUGGGACUGGGAUACGGCCCAAACUCCUAGGGGUGGAAGCAGUGGGGAAUAUUGCACAAUGGGCGCAAGCCUGAUGCAGCGAGGCCGCGUGGGGGAUGACGGCCUUCGGGUUGUAAACUCCUUUCGCUAUUGACGAAGCCACCUUGGGUGGUGACGGUAGGUAGAUAAGAAGCACCGGCUAACUACGUGCCAGCCGCCGCCGUAA